AAGCAUCUAAGCUUUAUUGACGUGUGGGACCCAAGAGGUAGUGGACGGCCUGACUAUGAUUUCAUAAACAUAGUAGAGAGGAGAAGUGCCUUUGGCAAACAGAUAUUACAGCAUACCUGGCCAAGCCACUUCAUUUCCUCAAAUAAACCCUCACUCAUUCACUCAACGACAUCUUCAAAACAACAACAGCAAUGCUUUGGAAGAAAAACACUCGGAAUGACGACAUGAACUUUUUGUCUUUCCAAAAAAGACAAAGGAAAGUACUGUUCAAAGUUUCCUUGAUGAUUGAAAAGGCUCAGUCCGUGUUUUCAUCACUUUCCGCAGGCAAAAGUGAUGUCAUGGGGCCCACUUCAAUGGGAAAACAGUCACAGCGUUUCUCAAAAGUGUGUGCAUCUAUAACAAAUAGUUGUUUAGACACACUGCGUAUGUGUCUAAUGCCCACACAAAACUUUGUUUAAUAAAAAAAACAACAACAUACAAUACAGAUAUAAAUUUGAACUUUAUUGUUACUUAUAUAAAUCCCCGUUUCUGUUUUAACCACAACCCCCUGGCUUUAGGCCAAAGUCUAAACUAGGAGUGUGUUGCUCUGCUGCAGCUGCUGUCAUGUUUACAGGAGAAAGAACCUGAUAUAAGCUACCCGUAUCUGUCAGAGGUAACGGGGAAAGGUUAGUAGCCUGAGGAAGUGCAGAACGUGGGACCCCUGAUUCACAAUCCCCAAAAUGGAGCACUUCGAUAUGACAACAAAGAAACAUAGCAACAGUGCUCAUUUACAGACAAGUGGGGACAGGUUUCCAAAGAUCAGCAGUCAUCAUAAUAUAAGAGGGGGUUUCAGUGUCACCAUAUCAAAAUAGAAUACAAGCCAUCCGCAUAUGUAGGACUUACAAAAGACGUUUGGAAUGUAAAUAAAAGACCUAAUGUUUUAGAUCUUCUUCCUGCAUCAGUUGCUAAGAGCACUGACACAAAAGAGAAUAACUUUGAAUAAAGCAAGUUACCAAAACAAAUAUACUGUCCAAAGCAAUGUUUAUUCUAUAUGUACAUGUUAGUACAUAUAUAAAUUAGAAGACAUUUCAGAAUUUAGAAUAUUACCAAUUUAGAAUAUUACUUUACUUCACAAAGGUCAGGCGAAAGGUCUCAUGAAAUUCCUUUUAACUGGAUUCAGUGGCCUUUUAACAGCAUUCGGCAAUGUAUCAAUAAAUAUGAAUAUGUCUGGCUGCAUCCAGAAAGAUCAAGAACACAUCCCUUGGAAUGUUUUAUAUCAGAAAAAGCAUCCCCUCUGAGGAGAAAUAUUAUUCAUGCUACACUCCAAGAUUGGAGCAUAGCUCUGUGGACAUAAGGUCCUCAGAGACUUCGGUUGAAAUAGCUGUUCAGAUCUCUUUUAGUGCAAACUGCAGUUGCUCAGGCUCUAGCGACUGUGCAUGGAAGGAUCCUGAUGAAAAAAAAAUAUAUAUAUAUUUAAUUAACUGUAUUUUAGAGACUGUUUUUUAUACAGUAAGAAUUCUAUGUAGAUUUAGACUUAAAUGCAGCAAACUGGUGAUGUGUAUUUAAUGUACACAAGUAGGAACAAAUCUUGUUUUUUUUUUUACUCGUAUUGUGACAUACAGAUUAAAGAAGGAAAAUUAAACUGGGUUCUAUCCAUCGAUUAUUGAUUGGAGAGAGAUUUCAAUUUGAGCUUGCAGUCAGUUAUAAAAAAGGGAUGGCAUUAAAUGAAGUCCUGUAUAUAUCACUAAAGUCUCUAAUUUUCUCUGGAAGGUUGAGUUAUAGCAUCUUGAUAAAAAAUUACAAUACUAUGCAUUUAAAAAUAGAGAGGAAUUGUCUUUAAAGUACUAGUAAUGUUUGAGCAUAAAUACAUAUCCAUUAGUACCUAUAACAGCCAACUACAGCAUAGUGAUCAUGCAUUAUAUUUGAGUCGCCUUCUUUAGGGUCCUGUGGGCGUGUCUCAACUGACAUCUCCAUUCCACCAAUCAGCGGCAGCGCUUCUGCCACCUCUACACUCAGCUCACCAAACGUGUUCUUCUUAUAGGCUAGAGUCUCUCUUUGGAUCUCAGCACAACACUGAAACACAAAACAGAGUAUAACCCCAACUAUAUAUCAUCAUGUAACGUAUCAGCCUAGUUGAUCAAGAGGGAUUUUUACAUAAAUUAUCAAUCCCUAAACUUUAAUAUAUGGUCAAUUAAGCUAUUUUGAAUUAUUAUUACAAUUUAAAAUAACUUUUCUAUUUAAAUAUAUUGUAGAAUUUAAUUACAGGGAAUUUUCAGCAGCCAUUACUCCCGUCUUCAGUGUUACUGUCAUGAUCCAUCAGAAAUCAUUUUGAUAUGCUGAUUGAUGCUCAAGUAUCUAUUCUUAUUAUAAUCAAUGUUGAAAACAGUUUAGCAGUUUACUUUUGUAGAAACGUGAUACUUUUGAUCAAUUUAAUGCAUCCUUGCUGAGAAAAAAAUGUAUGAGCCCAAACUUUAACUGUAUUUCAAAUAUUAAGAUCUGCAUCUUUUCUAUAAUAUACAUUAUAUCCAUAUCUAAAUUUGAAGCUGACCGCCUGUUGUCCCGUGAGUAGAAGAAAUGACUGAAGUCAUCAUGAGCAGAUAGGGUGAGUGUGUCCUGUGGGCCUAGUGCACUUCUAUAUGCACUUAUACUCUCCACAAAAAAGUGUGUUGCUGAAUCUAUUGAAAUGGAAAAAGAGAUCAACAUAAUCACAUUUUUUGUUCCCUUUUUACACUAUAUUAGUCCUCCACUACCCCGUGAAGAGCUUCUCCAACACAUCAUCAUAUUUUUCAUUUGAUUAGCUGAGGGUCACCUUUAAGACUUGACUGCUACUUGUUAUGCAGGUCAGCUAACACAAAGCUCUCCUUGUGUAUAGUCUGCUAAACACAAUUCACACCAAUGACAAACUCUAAAUGUUGGAUCAGAUGCAAGGCAUCUAAAUGACAGAAUGCCUUCUGCUCAUAAUACAAUUUUUAUUAUUCUUAUAUUGACUUCAUAACACAUCUCAUUAUUUCUGUGUGAUGCUCUGGGCCUAAUUAAAUCCCCCGUAAGGACAGACUAUUGUGAAUGCAGUCGCUCACUGUUGAUGAGGCUCUGAAGUGGAAGAGUAGGCCAGAGCCAAGCUGUGAGCGAUCUGGGCCCCCUCCAGACCCCCAGGACUCUGACUAAGAGCUAUGGAAUGAGCCUGCAGAAGAGGGAGUGAGAGAUACAGAGACUUGAAUAGAGAUGUAUCACAUAUCACACCCUCCCUGAAACAUGGGAAAUAUCAAGAGUUCUCGACUUUAAAUAACUCUGCAGUCCAGGUUUAAAAAACCAUUAGACUGAGGAUGUCAAAAACACAACCACUGGGCAACUAUGGCUUGCGGAGGAAUACAGUGUCAUGUCAUGGGAUGGUUUAUAGAAAGACUAGAAGCUGUUAAAGCCACAAAAAGGGAAACCGACUCCAUAAUAAUGUCUCCAUAUGAUCAGUACAGUGUAGUUCUCUGAAGGACUGGACAAGAAUAAUCCCUGUGAUGUUUACCUGUAGGAGAUGCUCAAUGGCUCUAUCCAGAUGUCCCUGUGCCUGUUCAAUAGCCGCCAUGUUUCAGCAAACACAGCAGAUCUGACUGAGAUGAGCUUCUUCCUGAAGCAGCUCCAAGGCGCUUUCACAUUGACUGAGGGUCUUCUCAGGCCUUCCCUGCCUCUGGUACACCCUAUAGAACACAGCACGGACACAAAGAUGUCAUUUAUCAUGAAAUCUAUCCACAAUGUCACAAACAGCACACUGUUGACCUCGCUUAUGCAUGCCAUCAUAUUAAGAAUGGCUUAUUUGUAAUGCCAGGCAUGAGCAAAAUAUCCCAGAACAAUGAAAGGAAGGAGGUCAAGAAAAGCCUGUUCAUGCGAACUGGUUAAAAACAGGAAGAACUGCUGCUGUGUACUGCAUAGGAUGGUGGCACCGGCUCUGAACCUUCAAGGAGCUUUCCUUUCUUUUAUUAAGAUGUGGAGUGCAGCAAAUCAUGCCCUGCAGAUCUGAACUCAAUACACAAGAGCUCAUGUCUUUAUUAGGUCUGAUUCUCCUCUCUCACUAUCAGCCUUUAGGCAUCUAGUCUCACUCCUGAAUAUUGCAGAGACUCACUGUGGUCUGCUAUCUGUGAAGAAAUGAAGUACGGAAGAGUCAGUGCUGUUCUAUAAUAAAGUAUUUAGUUCAA